GGUCAUACACUUCAAAGGAAACAACUGUUGAGUUUAACCUCCUUGAGCUACCAUGGAUUCCUUUACGAUUUUUCUUCAAACACUUUCAUCCCGAACAAAAAUGCAGACUGAUAAGAUUCAUGUUUGUUUUUCUAUUUUGUCCGUUUAUUAAGAUGACAAAUAUCCCCACUGCCUCACGCUGCUCCUGCUCCUCCAAGCCUGCGCUGUCAACUCACACUGCUGUGGCAUCGGCACUCCUCCAGAAACACCGCCUGCUGGAGUCCUCCACCUGAUACGUCUCCCUGCAAAUCUCUCAGUAUGCUUGUCGACAAUGUGAAAAACUCCUUCAGUCAAAAAAAAAAAAAAAAGAAAGAAGAAAUUAGCACAUUCAAUGAUACAUGGGUCUGGUGCUAUGUUGCACAGUUCAGUGAACCCCUGCACAGAUCAGCAAGAUGGCUGGAAAUGUCUCUUUCCGUCUGUUUUUCGUCUCAAAGCCUGUGUACUCAGCAGAGUGUGAAGAGUGCCUCUCUCCCCUCCGAACGCUCUCCCGCUCGCCCCCCCAAAAGACCCUGCAGCAGAGAACAGGAACUAGAGCAAAUGCUUUUGUGAAUUAAGAGAUCUUGUGAGCGUAAAUUUGGUCAGGCUGCUCCUUUCUGCAGGCCAGACCCGGCUGCUGCCCCAGGAUGUGAACUGUCAGUUUGCAUAGCUGGUGAUGAGUUGCAGAACCAUCAGUAAAGGUGAAGACGGCAGAAGCAAGAAAGAUUCAAGACUGGUGGAAAUCAUUUCACAAGGAAAAUUUCAGCCAUCAGUGGGAGGAAGCUUUGAAAAAUGCUGCCAUUUCCGAGUCAGAACGAAGGAAAAAUUAAAUUACUGCCGGUGAGGCGAGCCAAAGUCGCAUCUUCCCCUAGGGAGAGGUUUGAUAAUGGUAAACAUUUGACAGCUGGCCUGAAGUUGUUAUCUUGUUCUAACAGUUGUUAUAGUCUGAAUGAACAUUUCUGAUAAGAGAACAGAAAGAAAAACGCCAAACCAUUUUUAAUUUCUCACCUUCUAUAUUUUAAGCUGCACUGCCCAAAGCCAACCAGGUUGGAAGCAGUUUGCCACCAGCAGCCGCUCACAGCGGAGCUGACACGGAGCAGAGGAUUCCGGUGUGAAGCUGCUGGCAGCGCCCAGCUGGGCCGGCAGCACGUGGGCAGGGAUUCAGGAUAGCUGCAGCCCGCCUGCUUUGGGUAUCGUGCAAAUAUCCACUCUGCUUCACAACCAGCAGCUACAGGAAUUAAUCACUACGUUGGAGUGAGAUUGAGAGAACUGAUCGAUUUAAGAAUUCAACUUCAAGAUCUACCCCAAAGUCUUCUUUCUUUAUCACUUCACCUCCAGCUGCUGGAGCACAACCACACCAAGUCACUGCCAUCACCUCACAAAGAACAACCAGACAGCCAAGGUAUAAAGGUAACAACCCCGGUUCCACCUGACCAGAGCAGUAAUGAAUGAAAACCAGUUCUGUUUAAGCAGAAAAAGUAUGCUAUCUUCACAGGAAAUUUAAUUAUACCCAAGGUUUUUGUGCUCGGUUGUUGCUGACAAAGCCUGUAUUGAAGAGGGAACUACAGCUCUGCUCUGCACUGCUGCUCACAGCUCCUCCCUUAGAAAAAUACAGUUUGGAUAUGGAAAGUACAUUACAUGUAUGUCAGAACCAAACUGCCAUCCUGGAAGCGAGACUCUUCUGGAGGGGGAAAUCAGGAAUGUAUUUCUAAGCUGUUUAACUAAGGCAGCUUAACCUCUCAGAACACAUGCACUAAACAUUUACCUCCCAUUAAAAAUAAUUAAGAUGAAUAUGUA